GACGAACGCUGGCGGCGUGCUUAACACAUGCAAGUCGAGCGGAAAGGCCACUUCGGUGGUACUCGAGCGGCGAACGGGUGAGUAACACGUGAGUAAUCUGCCCCUGGCUUUGGGAUAGCCACCGGAAACGGUGAUUAAUACCGGAUACGACCACUUCUCGCAUGGGAUGGUGGGGGAAAGUUUUUUCGGCCAGGGAUGUGCUCGCGGCCUAUCAGCUUGAUGGUGAGGUAAUGGCUCACCAUGGCUUCGACGGGUAGCCGGCCUGAGAGGGUGACCGGUCACACUGGGACUGAGACACGGCCCAGACUCCUACGGGAGGCAGCAGUGGGGAAUAUUGGACAAUGGGCGGAAGCCUGAUCCAGCAACGCCGCGUGAGGGAUGACGGCCUUCGGGUUGUAAACCUCUUUCAGCAGGGACGAAGCGCAAGUGACGGUACCUGCAGAAGAAGCACCGGCCAACUACGUACCAGCCGCCGCAGUAA
rnacentral:rRNA from 1 species